rnacentral:rRNA from 1 species
CUGUACGGGAGGCAGCAGUGAGGAAUCUUCCACAAUGGGCGAAAGCCUGAUGGAGCGACACCGCGUGAAGGAAGAAGGCCUAACGGUUGUAAACUUCUUUUCUGAAGGAGCAUAAUGAGAGUACUUUAGGAAUAAGGGACGGCUAAAUACGUGCCAGCAGCCGCGGUAAUCAGU